GGGUGAUAUGAUGGCAUACCAUCUUUCGGGACUGACUCUUAAACUGGAGAGUUUCUUUCUGUACUCUGAUCACCC